rnacentral:rRNA from 1 species
AUUGAACGCUGGCGGCAGGCCUAACACAUGCAAGUCGGACGAGUGGCGGACGGGUGCGUAAUGUAUGGGGAACUGCCUGAUGGAGGGGGAUAACUACUGGAAACGGUAGCUAAUACCGCAUAACAUCAGAUGAACCCAUAUGGGAUUAGCUAGUAGGUGGGGUAAAGGCUCACCUAGGCGACGAUCCCUAGCUGGUCUGAGAGGAUGACCAGCCACACGGGGACUGAGACACGGCCCAGACUCCUACGGGAGGCAGCAGUGGGGAAUAUUGCACAAUGGGCGCAAGCCUGAUGCAGCCAUGCCGCGUGUAUGAAGAAGGCCUUCGGGUUGUAAAGUACUUUCAGUCGGGAGGCGUUACCCACAGAAGAAGCACCGGCUAACUCCGUGCCAGCAGCCGCGGUAAUUC